rnacentral:rRNA from 1 species
AUACGGAGGGUGCAAGCGUUGUUCGGAAUCACUGGGCGUAAAGGGCGCGCAGGCGGUUUGGUAAGUCAGAUGUGAAAGCCCAUGGCUCAACCAUGGAAGUGCAUUUGAGACUGUCAGACUUGAGUACUAGAGGGGAAAGUGGAAUUCCCGGUGUAGAGGUGAAAUUCGUAGAUAUCGGGAGGAAUACCGGUGGCGAAGGCGACUUUCUGGCUAGAUACUGACGCUGAGGCGCGAAAGCGUGGGGAGCAAACAGGAUUAGAUACCCCAGUAGUCC